UUUCGAGUAGUGUCUAGUCAAACGUAGUGUAGUCGAAAAACUGUCUUAAAAAAAUAUAUAUAUAAUGUCGUUAUAAUGUCGUUACCAAAUAUUGAAUUUCGAUUAACUACACUAGAACUUGAAGAAUUCUUAAGCAGUGUAUACGACCUCAAAGAAAAAAUAAUUCUCCAAAAAGUAUGGAAGACGUUAGCAAAUUUAAAUUCAAAUGGACGGAAAUCUUUUUUGAGUGGAGGAUACGCAGCAUUCAUAAAAGGCUACACAACAGCGUAUACAGACGUGGAUAUUUAUAUAGAAGGUAAUCCACGUAAAGAAGAGAUCACUGAUCUCACAAAAUACUAUAACAUAAACAAUUCGAAUAUUAUCACAUAUUUCGAAAUGGAGACGUCGAAUCUAAAUAUCUUAUUUAAUUUUAUAUACGUAAAGCGACCUUGGGAUAAUAUCAUAAUAAAUGCUCUGCAGAUAAUUAGUGAAUUUGAUAUAAAUAUAUGUAAAAUCGCAUAUUUUCCAAUCGAAAUCAACGGAGGGUUAAAAAUACAAUUAGUUGAAAUGGUAUUAUCCAGUAAAGAUUUAUCAUUUCAAAAAGCAAAAACGGCAGAACGGGCUCUAAAAUAUGAACUACGAUUAAAAGAAAAUAUAUCAGAAAAACUGCUUGCUAUACAGAAAUCGAUUAAUUCAAAUCCAAAAAUAUAUAUAAAUUUGAAAGAAAACGCUACUGUAGAAGACAAAGAUGCUAUGUUCCGAAGAUUAAAAAGCCACUUUGAAAAAAAUAAAUCAACUUCUUUUCAGGAUACAUCUACUGACGGACUGAUGAAUUGCGUAUCAUUAACAUCAUCAUCAUCAUCAUCUACAAGCCUACCAUUAGGACUUAUGACACCAGCAAAGGAAACCUCUAAUUUUUUUCAGGAAAAAUCAACCGAUAGAUGUGAGAAGGACAACAACAAAAAGAGCGCUGAUUUUUUUAGGAUAAUUCAGUUCAACAGAUGGAAUCAUCGCCAAUAGGGGAGGACCACUGCGCUUCACAUCAUCAACAGGAUUCAGGCUUUAGGACAGAGGACGAUCUCCAGAAGUCCAAAAAUCCACACCACUGUUGUUAGACGUCGUCAUAAUCUUUUUUUAACUUUAUUAUUAUUAGCCAGUCUAAAAACAAAAA